rnacentral:misc_RNA from 1 species
ACACACACACACACACACACAACACAGCAACACUAGUGUUUCCAUGCAUGGAUACCACUUCCAUACACAUCUAUAACUUAAAUAUGUGGCAAAAGAUACUUUGACUUCCUGUAUUUGGCAUAAUUGGGUUGAUAAAUCAACAUCUUUGCAUUACCUUAGCAGUUCAUGCAUUUUUUAAUUUACUAUUAUGUUUUAUAUAUUAAUCUUAUAUAGAUCAUUUAUUUUAAACAAGACUGUUCAAAGUUUUAAUUUCCAGAGUGUUACUAAAUAGGUUUUUAUGCAUCUGAAUUCAGAUCAAUAAUUACCAGACUACUUUGUCAUUAAUAUUCUGUUUUCCUUGGUUCUACUUCACAAAGAAUAUUUCAAGCAGAUUUUCUCAAGCAAAGCUCAAACAAAUUGUUCUAAAUGCUCAAACUGGUACCAAAUGAUAGUCACGGGGCCUGCUUUCUAGUUAUGCUUGAUGAAGCACCAACCGAUAUUGCAAGACGGCAAGUACUGCAGAGGGAGUUAUUCCUAGAAGUUUCAAGACUAAAGGUCUCAUGUCUCAGUACUACCCUACAUGGUCUUUUACUGAUUCCAUAAGUAGAAUGGGAAAAGGACGAUAAAGAAGCAAUGAAGAGCAUAAUUGCAAGGACAUCGACCACCAACUAAGAAAACCAGAAAGCGUUUGCAAACUAUAUUUCAUAAGAUAACAAUUCAUAUACACCCUCUUAUGAAUUUCAUUGCAACUUCAACUGUACAAUAAAAUGAAACAGACAUUCUCUACAACUACCUUUCAGAAAAAUUUGAAAGAGCUCCACAGUAAGUUGUCAGCUGAAAUGAGAUAAGUGAGGAAACAAGCACCAAGAGCUGACUCAACAAGACAUUUGCUAAUUUAUUGUAUAGUUAAUUAUAUCAAAAGCUCAAAGAAAAAAAGAGGACAGACCACCUAAAUUAGAGACAAAUUUGCUUUUAAAAAAAUAAAUUGGAGAAAGAAGGAGCUAUAUUCAAACUAAUAAGGAAAGAGGGACUCUUAUUCCUUGUUACCGAAUCUCUUUGCAAUGAUAGGGCGGACAUCAUCAGCAUCAACCAAGGUCUCUAAGAAGGGAAGUAAUGAAAUUAAUGCACAAUCUGAUGGAUCACUAAACCAACUCUUAAUGGGAAUCCCAUUAUUUACUUGCAACCUGAAAACCUGAAACCAUAUAAAGAAAACAAGGCUUACACAUAUGGAGCGAAUUGAAUGAAGCAUUUUUCUUUUUAUUUGCGUCCUACCAAUUUUUGACCCCAUCAUUUUUCUUUUUGGUUUGGGACAGGGGAUGUAACUCAAUUAUGUCCUUUCAAGUUACCAUUAAGCAAAAGAAGAUCUUAUUUUCUUUAUCUCUUUCCCUUUAGGAGGUAAGCUCUUCUGUCACCUUCCAUAGAGUUUUGAGCAUAGAGCUAUUUAUUAAAAGUUUGCUAUGGUUUACAUUCUAGCUACAGGUAUUUCAAACAGACCCUUUUUUUUUUUCUUUUAAAGAUUGUAAAACACAGAGCAUGGCUCUAAAAACUUGAUUCAAACAACAAACACUACAAUAUUGAGCCCUUGGCGAUAAAGAAAUAAGAUCUGCAACAGUCAGUCAACAGCCCCCUUUGUCAUUCAAAAUCCAGCUUGCAAAAUCCUUAAAUUUAUUGUUAAAGAUAAGUACAGUUAAAAUAAUUUAAUAUUUGACUUCGUAUCCCAACUUAAUUUGAUUUCAUUAACUCAUUUAUCUAGGCAGAAGCAUAGCCAAGGAUAAAAGCAUUUGACUCAAACAAAAGCCUUAAAAAAAGCAAAGAAAGUUGAGGAAAGAAGAGAGAAGUAAAAAGUAAAACUGUUAAGGCAAAAAUGGACAAGGUAAAUACCUGUGGAGAAUUAUCAAUAAUGGCUACUUUUGCAAGAUCAACACCUAAAACUGUCAAAUCUUUUGUGUAACUUCCAUCUGUGAAAAUGCAAGACUCACGGUAAACCCGACGAGAUAUAAGCUUUUUAUCUGGAUCCAGUAUGUCCAAAAGCUGUGCUGCAUAAAUGCUUUGGCUGGCUGUAAAGAUAACAACUUCAAACAUCUCUGCAACUCUCUUCAAGAAUUUAUGGAGGAAAGGCCUCUGUUUUACAUAUACAGUGUGCUCUUUCAAGUUGAAAAACACAGUAAAGGUGAAGUCUGCAUCAUCACAAUGUUCCAAAGUAGAGUGGACCAGAGUUUCAUCCAAAUCAAGUACCAGUGUUACAGACUUCCUUCUCCAAGACUCCUUUGGAGAUAACGUUGGGCAAAAAUUUGACUCCACAUCAGAUAGUUCAGGCAAAUUUUUGAUAAAGAACUGAGGAUCAAAGUCCUCUACUUGGUCUGAUUCAAUGUUAAGAUCAGAUUCCUGGUUGCACGAUCGUAUCUGAUUAAUUGCUAGGUAGAAGCUAGCAUUAUCUUGAUCUACCUCUUCACAAGAUAUCAUAUCACUGGAAUUGCUGACUUUGGCAGUGUCUUCAAGAAAAGGUAGCAUCACACAUUCCUCAGCCAUGUCAAACAACACACUAGACUCAGCACAUUUAUACUCAGGAAAAGGAUUGGUCUCAGUUAUAUCAUCAUCAACUGUGCUCCCAUCGAAUGGUAAGCCAGUAACAAUCAUGUCAGAAAUAAAGAAAUCUGAGACAUUGCAUGUUUGAUAGUCACAUGAGCUUCUGUUAUCAUCACUGUCUUCAGCACGCGACCCUGGCACAUUAAGAUCUUUGUUGUUCCCUGCAUCGUCAUCAGCGUUUGGCAUGCUGUGAAUUUCAAAGAGCUCCAGAGCAGGUGAAAAAAUUGUUUCCAAGUUUGAUGUACAAUUAAACGUUGAUUCCAUUCUUCCCAUGGUGCCUGAAUCCAGAAAAGUUGAUGAAUGUUUCUGCAUCUGAGAAUUUCCUUCACUUGAAAAAUCUCGCUGGUUAAUGGCUUCAUCACUUUCAAUAUCCGGGGUGUAUAUUUCUAUACUUGAUUGAACAUAGCCAUUCUGACAUUUCUGAAUAUAAGCAUCACAUUCUGCUGCUUGUCGAGGAACCAUGACAUGAGAACCUGAUUUUUUGGAUAUCAUACUAGACUUUUGACACACACUCAGACAACUUUUUUCUCUUAAAGAAUCCAUGCUUAGUUUGGUCUUCAUUUUUAACGAUGGCAUUUGAUCUGGUCCUUUGAUAUGUAACACAAUCUCGACUUGGAAACAUUAGUGGGGAAACAAAACCCCUCUAAAAAAUAAAGCACCAGCCGAGACUGUGAAGGUAAAAAAACUCAGAGACUUUCUCUCUCUAGAAGUUGAAUGUGUUUCUCUCUCCUGAGUUUUCCCAUAAAACAAGGGAAAAG